ensembl:rRNA 5S_rRNA 5S ribosomal RNA
GUCUGCGGUCACACCACCCUGAAUGCACCAGAUCUCCUCUGAUCUUGGAAGAUAAGCAGGGUCAGGCCUGCUUAGUACUUGGAUGGGAGAAAACUACCUAUGCCUUUGUUAACA